AGUAGUGACUGCUAGUGUACAGUCAGCAGAUGAUAAGAAAAGAUGGGCAACUAGGACUAGUCAAAGUGGAGUUGUUCUACGCAAGGACACACAUCCAUACCGGUUUCCCUGAGAUCAAAGUCUGCUCGAAAUUUUCCGGGGCCUCAACGUCACGUUAGUUAAUUAGUUGGUUAUUAGGGGGACUUUCAUUUUACCAAUUCGAUCAAUAUUCUUCCUUUUCGUUUUCUACCUUGUAGAAUGUUUUGUGCUCAAUCUUUAUGACUCCUUAUGAUGAUGCAUUUAUCUAACAAAUUCCACAGGAAAAUAAACUUAAAGAGAGAAAUCUAGAAAGGUACAUGUUCCCUCGGUGCCCU
rnacentral:lncRNA from 1 species